rnacentral:rRNA from 1 species
UAGGGAAUCUUCGGCAAUGGGGGCAACCCUGACCGAGCAACGCCGCGUGAGUGAAGAAGGUUUUCGGAUCGUAAAGCUCUGUUGUAAGAGAAGAACGUGUGUGAGAGUGGAAAGUUCAUACAGUGACGGUAACUUACCAGAAAGGGACGGCUAACUACGUGCCAGCAGCCGCGGUAAUACGUAGGUCCCGAGCGUUGUCCGGAUUUAUUGGGCGUAAAGCGAGCGCAGGCGGUUUAAUAAGUCUGAAGUUAAAGGCAGUGGCUUAACCAUUGUUCGCUGUGGAGACUGUUAAACUUGAGUGCAGAAGGGGAGGGUGGAAUUCCAUGUGUAGCGGUGAAAUGCGUAGAUAUAUGAAGGAACACCAGUGGCGAAAGCGGCUCUCUGGUCUGUAACUGACGCUGAGGCUCGAAAGCGUAGGGAGCAAACAGG